UCAAAACUUUAUGUAAUUGCAUAAAAGCCCCAAAAGUACUCCCACUUGAGGGAGGGCCGGUUUUGGAGAAGGAAAGGGAGUGAUGUUUGUGUUGAUUUGUAGUUUAGACAUAAAGCAUGCAAGUGGUGCAAGUGGUGUGUGUGAAAGGGAAUUAAUCCUUUCACACCCACCAUAAUAUCUCUUACAUCUCUUACACCAUUUAAACAAAUAUCUAAAACAAUUAAACAUUUGAAAAACAUAAAACAUAAACUUUAUGAAAUAAAUCAAAACUUUGAAUCAAAACACAAAACUUUUUGUUCUUGGCAAAAAUGUCAAGAACAAUGAAGAACAUUCAUGAAAAAUUCAAAAAUUUCCAUGAACAUUUUUCACCCAAAAACAUUCCAAAACCAUUCAAACUUAAGGGAAAUAACAUCUAACCAAACUAGGGUACAUAGGGGUUCCAAAAGUCACUUGAAAACACUUUUAACAAGUCAAACAAGAACCCAAAAAUCCAACCUUUGGAUUUGGCCGAAAAUUCCCAAAAGCAUGGCACCAAAUUUUAGCUCCAAUAUUCAUGUUCACAAGAACUACAUCAACAACAUUUGAGAUGGCAAAUUUUCUAACAAAAUUUACAUUCAAAGAAGCAAGAAUAAAGCUUGUAACAUAUUACAACUUUUAAAUCACAAACUAUGAACCACAAAACCCAAAAGGAUUCACCAACUACUAGACCUAGGCUCUGAUACCACUUGAAGGAAUAUUUUGUGAAAACAUGUUCAUUUGAAUAACAUCUAUAGCAUGCAAUUAACAAUUAAAAGGCGGAAUCAUGCU
rnacentral:lncRNA from 1 species